rnacentral:rRNA from 1 species
AUUGAACGCUGGCGGCAGGCCUAACACAUGCAAGUCGAGCGGAGCGGCGGACGGGUGCGUAAUGCCUAGGAAUCUGCCUGUUCGUGGGGGAUAACGUCCGGAACCGGGCGCUAAUACCGCAUACUAUCAGAUGAGCCUAUGUCGGAUUAGCUAGUUGGUGGGGUAAAGGCAUACCAAGGCGACGAUCCGUAACUGUUCUGAGAGGAUGAUCAGUCACACUGGAAGUGAGACACGGUCCAGACUCCUACGGGAGGCAGCAGUGGGGAAUAGUGGACAAUGGGCGAAAGCCUGAUGCAGCCAUGCGGCGUGGGUGAAGAAGGUCUUCGGAUUGUAAAGCACUUUAAGUUGGGAGGCGUUACCAACAGAAUAAGCACCGGCUAACUUCGUGCCAGCAGCCGCGGUAAUAC